GCUGCGAUGACCGAGAGGUUAAGGUGUUGGACUUGAAAUCCAAUGGGGUUUCCCCGCGCAGGUUCGAAUCCUGCUUGCAGCA
rnacentral:tRNA from 1 species